GCCACCCUAGCUCAGUUGGCAGAGCGGAGCUUUCGUAAAGCUCAGGUCACCGGUUCGAGUCCGCUGGGUGGCU
rnacentral:tRNA from 1 species